AACCAACGCUGGCGGCGUGCCUAAUACAUGCAAGUCGAACGAGGUAGCAAUACCUAGUGGCGCACGGGUGAGUAACGCGUGGAUAAUCUGCCCUUCAGUGGGGAAUAACUCUCCGAAAGGAGAGCUAAUACCGCAUAAGACUACAGUGACUUUGGUCACAGAGGUUAAAGGAGCAAUUCGCUGAAGGAUGAGUCCGCGUCAGAUUAUGGUAGUUGGUGGGGUAACGGCCUACCAAGCCUUCGAUCUGUAGCUGGUCUGAGAGGAUGAUCAGCCACACUGGAACUGAGACACGGUCCAGACUCCUACGGGAGGCAGCAGUAGGGAAUAGUGGUCAAUGGGCGAAAGCCUGAAUCAGCAACGCCGCGUGAGCGACGAAGGCCUUAGGGUUGUAAAGCUCUGUUGCAAGGGAAGAAAAUAAUGACGGUACUUGGCGAGAAAGGACCGGCCAACUUCGUG
rnacentral:rRNA from 1 species